rnacentral:RNase_P_RNA from 1 species
AUAGGCAAUGGUGAAACGGCGGUGUAAGAGACCACCGGUCCCAAGGUAACGCGGGACGCAGGGUAAACCCCACUUGGAGAAAGACCAAAUAAAAAACGUAGGCUCGCCUUAAAAAUUCAUCGAGCCUGGGAAUGACUCGUUCCCGCCUGCCGUUCCGGCAAGCAGAAGUUUUGGGUUGGUCGCAUGAAAUGCCGUGAAAGCGGCAUUCAAGAUAGAUGAUCAUCAUCUCACAGAACUCGGCUUAAUCUAGGACUUGCGUG